rnacentral:miRNA from 1 species
AGAAGUUGGCAUUUGCAAACACU